CUCCUACGGGGGGCAGCAGUGGGGAAUAUUGCACAAUGGGGGAAACCCUGAUGCAGCGACGCCGCGUGAGUGAAGAAGUAUUUCGGUAUGUAAAGCUCUAUCAGCAGGGAAGAUAAUGACGGUACCUGACUAAGAAGCCCCGGCUAACUACGUGCCAGCAGCCGCGGUAAUACGUAGGGGGCAAGCGUUAUCCGGAUUUACUGGGUGUAAAGGGAGCGUAGGUGGCAGGGCAAGUCAGAUGCGAAAGCCCGGGUCCCACCCCC
rnacentral:rRNA from 1 species